rnacentral:rRNA from 1 species
AUUGAACGCUGGCGGAAUGCUUUACACAUGCAAGUCGAGCGGCAGCGCGGGGGCAACCCUGGCGGCGAGCGGCGAACGGGUGAGUAAUAUAUCGGAACGUACCCCGUCGUGGGGGAUAACACAGCGAAAGCUGUGCUAAUACCGCAUACGACCUGAGGGUGAAAGCGGGGGAUCGCAAGACCUCGCGCGAUGGGAGCGGCCGAUAUCGGAUUAGCUUGUUGGUGAGGUAAAGGCUCACCAAGGCGACGAUCCGUAGCUGGUCUGAGAGGACGACCAGCCACACUGGAACUGAGACACGGUCCAGACUCCUACGGAGGCAGCAGUGGGGAAUUUUGGACAAUGGGGGCAACCCUGAUCCAGCCAUUCCGCGUGAGUGAAGAAGGCCUCGG